rnacentral:rRNA from 1 species
UACGGGGGGGGCAAGCGUUGUUCGGAAUUACUGGGCGUAAAGGGCUCGUAGGUGGCCAACUAAGUCAGACGUGAAAUCCCUCGGCUUAACCGGGGAACUGCGUCUGAUACUGGAUGGCUUGAGUUUGGGAGAGGGACGCGGAAUUCCAGGUGUAGCGGUGAAAUGCGUAGAUAUCUGGAGGAACACCGGUGGCGAAGGCGGCGUCCUGGACCGAUAUUGACGCUGAGACGCGAAAGCGUGGGGAGCAAACAGG